UACGAAGGGGGCUAGCGUUGCUCGGAAUCACUGGGCGUAAAGCGCACGUAGGCGGACUCUUAAGUCGGUGGUGAAAUCCUGGAGCUCAACUCCGGAACUGCCUUCGAUACUGAGAGUCUCGAGUCCGAGAGAGGUGAGUGGAACUGCGAGUGUAGAGGUGAAAUUCGUAGAUAUUCGCAAGAACACCAGUGGCGAAGGCGGGUCUCUGGGCCGAUACUGACGCUGAGGAGCGAAAGCAUGGGUAGCGAACAGG
rnacentral:rRNA from 1 species